ACCGUCGACAGUCAGGUAACGAGCGAGACCCCUGCGUCUAGUUGCUACCAUUACUCUCUGGAGCAGUGGAGCGAAUUAGACGGACCGCCACAGUUAAUGUGGAGGAAGGAAGGGGCCACGGCAGGUCAGUAUGCCCCGAAACCCUAGGGCUACACGCGGGCUGCAAUGGUAUUGACAAUGUGUUCCGAAUCCGAAAGGAGGAGGCAAUCAUCAAACAAUAUCUCAGUUAUGACUGAGGGCUGUAACUCGCCCUCACGAAUAUGGAAUCCCUAGUAACCGCGCGUCACUACCGCGCGGUGAAUACGUCCCUGCUCCUUGCACGAAUUCGCCG
rnacentral:rRNA from 2 species